UGCACGUAAUAUUUAGUAUGGUGCCGAUAAAGUUUGAAGGCUUAGAUAAGUACGCAGACAUAAAUAUGUGAUAACUACUCCGUUUGUGCAUCCAUAAAUACGUACACAUUUAUUUACCAAGUAAAUUUAUUAAACAUUAACGGGAUUACUUACCAUUUUUCACGGAGAAAUUACAUACUAUUUCAUUGAAGAGAACACUUCAAAAAGUUGCUGGGAGAACACUUCCAAAUUUUUGUAAGAAAUUCCAGCUGGAUGUGUGGAAAACCUCGGUGACAUUUUCUUUACACCCAAAUAAUGCUUUCCAGAGGUAGCUGUUCUUGAGGGACGGGGUGAAAAAUUGUGACUUUAGUCGCUAAGUUGUAUGAUACUUCGAAGGGUCAAUUAUACCUAGUGUCAGCAUCAGCCGGCCGGUACGGCCCCUCGGGCCGGACGGCCUGGAGAGUGCUCUCCACCUAAAACCAGUCCUUCUACGGCCCUGCAACGCCCAAAACUCAGUCUCCCUUUCUCCCGGCGCGGUUAUAGUACCUCCGCGGGGUGACGAUUAUUUAGAGUGUGUAGACUAAAUCCAGCGUGAACUUUACGCUUUAUCAAAUUUUCCUCACGCCAAUCAACGCGGUGAUUGUAUAUUUUCUGAUCUCCAUUCAUACGGAGAAAGGUUACAUGUCAAGGCGAACGGAACACAUUGCAGAUGAGUUUGCAGGGUUGCUGGGGGGUGGACUUUUUGGCCUAAUUUUAGCCAUAUUACUUUACUUGGGGGCGAAACAGGGGAGCAGAACAAAAUGUCGAAUAUGGCUCUGGUUCAGCACUUUAGGCACGUGUUUGUCACUCUGUCACGCGUUUGUGGUCACCAUGCCGGCAGUCGCGGGGGAUAAAAUGGCACCCAUUCCGACCGGAGAGUUUUUCGGACUGGGGCUGAUUUUCUACUUUCUUCACGUCGUUGAUAAGUACUCGGGUGAGUUAAGGGUGCUUCAGGAAGAAUGUCUGGCUCCACGUCAAGAUUCAGACCUCAGCCAUGGUUUCCCUGCUGAGGAGACUGUGUGAAUUUUUUAUUUAUUGCGUAACUUAGUUUAAGCUAAUUUUAGUGUUGUUUAGUAAAUUGCAUAAAUAUUUGCUAAGGGAAGGUUCACAUAUUACGUCGUGAGAAAGAAGGGUGUGUUUUUCUUGUUCGUUUUAAGCUUGAAACGAACAGGAUGAAGAAGGGAUGGGUGGAUGGUCUGAAUAGUUGUGCGCUUUAAGAUGACGUAAUAUAUGAACGUCCUUUAAAUGAGUAUUCAUUAAAAAUAGAUAAUAAAAAAGUUUGUGCUUCUGGUAUUUGAAAAAUU